rnacentral:rRNA from 1 species
GACGAACGCUGGCGGCGUGCUUAAUACAUGCAAGUCGAGCGAGAAGCCACCGCUCCGUAAGGAGUGGUGGUGGAAAGCGGCGAACGGGUGAGUAACACGUGGGUAACGUGCCCCGAACACUGGGAUAACGGCGGGAAACCGCCGCUAAUACCGGAUAACCCUGCAGCGUCGCAUGAUGCAGCAGGCAAAGCUCCGACGGUUCGGGCUCGGCCCGCGGCGUAUCAGCUUGUUGGUGGGGUAACGGCCUACCAAGGCAGUGACGCGUAGCUGGCGUGAGAGCGCGACCAGCCACAGUGGGACUGAGACACGGCCCAGACUCCUACGGGAGGCAGCAGUAGGGAAUCUUGCGCAAUGGGCGAAAGCCUGACGCAGCGACGGCGCGUGAGGGAUGAAGGCCUUCGGGUUGUAAACCUCUUUCAGCGGGGACGAAGCCUCACGGUGACGGUACCCGCAGAAGAAGGUCCGGCCAACUACGUGCCAGCAGCCGCAGUAA